AGAGUUUGAUCAUGGCUCAGAUUGAACGCUGGCGGCAUGCCUUACACAUGCAAGUCGAACGGCAGCGCGGGAGCAAUCCUGGCGGCGAGUGGCGAACGGGUGAGUAAUAUAUCGGAACGUGCCUUAGAGUGGGGGAUAACUAGUCGAAAGACUAGCUAAUACCGCAUACGACCUACGGGUGAAAGUGGGGGAUCGCAAGACCUCAUGCUCUUAGAGCGGCCGAUAUCUGAUUAGCUAGUUGGUGGGGUAAAAGCCUACCAAGGCGACGAUCAGUAGCUGGUCUGAGAGGACGACCAGCCACACUGGGACUGAGACACGGCCCAGACUCCUACGGGAGGCAGCAGUGGGGAAUUUUGGACAAU
rnacentral:rRNA from 1 species